CACUCAACAUCUGUCCGGUGUCAAACUCCGCACACAGCACAGUUACCUCAGUAAGGGCGGUUCUGUGUGCGGCGCGCGGAAGAGGCAGAUCCUCGCGUGAAGGGGGCGGUGUUAUACGCUUAUUUACUUCAAUUCAAUUAUACUCCACUCUGCUGUCUCUCCCUCAGAAAUAAGUAAUUAACGCGCUCAACAAGCCACAUGAUAAGAUGCAUGGAUUGAUGGUCUUAGACACAGAGGCAAUUGAGAUUCGUCAACCGAUUGAGUUGGGGGAAGUGUGUGCCGGGCUGAUUAGCAUCACUGUUUCCUCCUUUCCCAUAACCCCCAGACCCCCGCCAGUCGUCUGUUUAUUUUAACCCAGAAAAAAAUGGGCCUUUGCCCACGAGGACGUGCCCCUCAUCAGAGACAGCACUCUUCCCCAAACACACACACAUAUAUUUAUAUACAAAGAUAUAGACUUAGACUUUCACACACACACACACACACACACACACACACACACACACACACACACACACGCACACACACACACACACCUAGUCAUCAAUUUCUGUACUUCUAAAAUAUAAGCCAGUGAUCUGAAAUCUCCAUAACACAGCUGUCAGUGUUGCCCAAAUGUGUGAUCGCGUGUUUGUGUUUUAGGAAUACACACAUUGAUGUGGGAGUAUACCAGCGCUUGUGUGAUUUUAAUGGAUGGAGCUGUGAGAAUGUGUGUUAAUUUGUAAGUUCAUUAAUAUUAUCUUGUUAACAUUCUUAUAAAAAGGAUAGUUUUAUUUCUGGGUGCUGGUUAACGCAACAUUCCAGUUGUGCUCAAAAAGCAAUAUAAUAAAAGCAAUGUUGCGAAUCACCUGUUCAUCUACAUACAGGCAAAUCAUUUAUUCAUAAUUAUGGAUUUGAGGAGCAAUAAUGUGUGACAAAGUGCAGAAAACUGACACUAGCUUUUCCACUCACAUACAGGUCCCAUAUGUGUAGUGUACAAAAGCUGUUUACAACCUGUCUUCUGGUUUAACAGCCUGCACCUGCACUUACAAAUGCAGGACAGGUACAGCUACAUGGAACACUGCUUACAUACGCCAACGCAAGCUGUCUCAAAGCAAGUGGGUGUCUGCGUGUGUGUGUAUGUGCCGUGGUAUGUCGCGUAACACGUUUCACAGCACACCUGGAAACAACAGGGCGACCUGCUUUUCCAAAGGUCUGCUUUUGCUAAUGGAACAAAUUCCACCUCUUCUCUGACUUCAGACACAGCUGUAUGGCACUGAUUAAUUACAUUUCAUAAUUCAGGCUGUUAAAGCAAAUAUGGGAGGCUUUCAAACAUAACUGGAUUGAACAGAAAGGGACAGCGGAAGAAAUGACCUAAAGCGAGAAAUCCACAAAGCCAAAUCUCUGUCAUCGUUGGAGAGUUGGUCAUCUUAUUGGAAAGAACAUCGUGAACAAAACUGAUGACAUAUUGAACUGAAAAAUUAAAAUGUAUGACAGCUUUGAAUCAACACUUAACAUUAUUACAUCAUGUACCAAAGUGAUUAAAUCUGUUUUGACUGUACGUGUGCUGUGGUGUGGAGAUGAGCAUUCUCUACCAUUUAUUCUCUAUAGAAGCUGAGUAACAGGCUUGUAUGAGGGAUUCAUACAUUCGAAUCACCAGCAUUAAGUUAAAGAGGGUACACUUUAUAAUUCAACUGAAUUGUACACAAGCAUUUUAGACACUUACAUUUGCCGUGCUCUGUCCAUGCACGGAAUUAACCGCUCAGGCAAUGUCAAUGGUAUGGCCUAUUUUAGGGGUUGUCCAGAUUACAAUUUAAGAUCAAGCAGAGCUAUAGAUAUGUACAAAUUUACAACCAAGAUCAACCUUAAAAUUAUACAAAAAAAAAUAGUUUUAAGCCAUGUAUUUAAAAUAUAUAGCAAAAAUUUUAGAUGUUUUCAGAUCAGUCUGUUUUUAAAGGUUUCUAUGUUAUCUAAAAUAUAAUAAAAAAUCCCCCUAUGAAGACAUUGAAGAGUUUUUACUUAUGAAACCAUAUUGUUGUGCUCUACAGUGCUUGAG